CCGCACAAGCGGUGGAGCAUGUGGUUUAAUUCGACGCAACGCGAAGAACCUUACCAGGCUUGACAUCCCCUGACCGCGUAUGAAAGUACGUUUUCACCCUCGGGUGACAGGGAGACAGGUGGUGCAUGGUUGUCGUCAGCUCGUGUCGUGAGAUGUUGGGUUAAGUCCCGCAACGAGCGCAACCCCUACGUUUAGUUGCUAACGCGUGAAGGCGAGCACUCUAGACGAACUGCCGUUGACAAAACGGAGGAAGGUGGGAUGACGUCAAAUCAUCAUGCCCCUUAUGUUCUGGGCUACACACGUGCUACAAUGGCCGGUACAGACGGACGCAAAGCCGCGAGGUGGAGCAAAUCCUAAAAAGCCGGUCUCAGUUCGGAUUGCAGGCUGCAAUUCGCCUGCAUGAAGUCGGAAUCGCUAGUAAUCGCAGGUCAGCAUACUGCGGUGAAUACGUUCCCGGGGCUU
rnacentral:rRNA from 1 species